ACGGGCCGGUUCUAAAAGUUGGAGAAAACGGGACCCCGACCCAGACCAUUCAUUGCUCUACCCUGUAUCACAGUAUCACCCUCUCUCUUAUUCUCAGACCCAAUUCACAACUAUCCCGUCACCCUCUCUCUCUAUCCCGACUUCUCCGAUACCACUCCGAGUCUCCUCCCUCGAUCUCUCCUCCCUGUGGGUUUCUGAUUUUGCUUUCGGAUCCGUCGAUUCUCAUCUCUCUCUCUCUCUCUUUCUCUCUCCCCCCCCCCAAACCUUCUUCUUCUUCAAGUUCUUAAUCCCAGUUAGGUUUUCCACAAAUCAUGCAUCGGCAACCCAAUCGACGAUGGCUGGCGCUACGAGGACUGGAGCAACAAUCACCAAAAGCUUGCCGAUUACGGCAUCGGGUUCAACAUGGACGUCAUGGGAGAUUGUUAAUGAUCUGGUUAGUCAUCAAAUUCAAGUGCAGCGCAAUAUCAAGAUUGACCAGCUGAAAUAAGGAGAUGGUAUUAGCAAUAUCUUUAGCUACAUCCUGCAUCUGCAAGAGCAUUGAGUGUGAUUUAAGCAAGAGACGGAGGCAUGGCCUUGGCAAAGAGAGGCGGAGAUGUCGAGGAAGGUUGCCGUUUCAGAAAAAAAAAAAAAAAAGUUCCCGUGUACCCGAACCAAAUCGGCUUGUUUCGAACGAGCCGAUUUAGGUCCGGUUUCUAUUUUAAGAUCUGUUAUAUCCGACCCGGCCCGACCGUUUCUUUUAAUCCGGGUCCAGUCCGAUUCCUUCAAAAUUAGGCAUGGCCCGUGCCUAGCCCUAGUUCGAAUUAUUGAAAUUUGACGUGGAGUGCUCCCUACAACUAGUCCCCAUUUUUACCCAAAAAUGACAAUCAUUUUGGGUAAAAGGCCUAUUUAGGUAUAUAUUAGUGUCACUUCAUUGCGAGAGUUGUCUUAUGCUUACGCAUAUGUAACUGUUUAGACCCAAAAUUACUUUAUCGGCCCAUGCAAUCAAGGUCGUUGGGUGGGCAUAGCUCCCAACCGUCGGAUGAAAAGUGAAGAUAAUUUUGCUAUUAUUGAAAGAUAUAUUGUGGUUUUAAUCAUGGCACUAUCUUUUAAUAUAUUUUAGCCCUUCUCUGCAUAGGAUAAUAUUAAAUAAGAAUGGUUAUAUAAUAACCAGUAGAAGAAUUGCAAUUCAUUUGCAAUUAUUUAAGUCAGCACAUGCAUAUACGUGGAAGGUUGGGAGACUAUUUCCCAUGUAAUUAUGUACCACAAGUUUGUGAUGAUUAUCUCCAGAAAGCAACCAACCAUAGCGGUGUAUGUGGAUUGGUGGUUA